UACAGAGGUCUCGAGCGUUGUUCGGAUUCAUUGGGCGUAAAGGGUGCGUAGGUGGCGCUGUAAGUCGGGUGUGAAAUCCUGGGGCUUAACCCCGGAACUGCAUUCGAUACUGCAGUGCUUGAGGACUGGAGAGGAGACUGGAAUUCAUGGUGUAGCAGUGAAAUGCGUAGAUAUCGUAAGGAAGACCAGUGGCGAAGGCGGGUCUCUGGGCCGAUACUGACGCUGAGGAGCGAAAGCGUGGGGAGCGAACAGG
rnacentral:rRNA from 1 species